rnacentral:SRP_RNA from 1 species
GCCAGGUGUGGUGGUGCAUGCCUGUAGUCCCAGCUACUUGGGAGGCUGAGGCAGGAGAAUCGCUUGAACCCGGGAGGCGGAGGUUGCAGUGAGCCAAGAUUGCGCCAUUGCACUCCAGCCUGGGUGACAGAGCGAGACUCUGUCUCCA